rnacentral:rRNA from 1 species
ACAAUGGACGAAAGUCUGAUGGAGCAACGCCGCGUGAGUGAAGAAGGGUUUCGGCUCGGUAAAAACUCUGUUGUUUAAAGAAGAACAUAUCUGAGAGUAACUGUUCAGGUAUUGACGGUAUUUAACCAGAAAGCCACGGCUAACUACGUGCCAGCAGCCGCGGUAAUACGUAGGUGGCAAGCGUUGUCCGGAUUUAUUGGGCGUAAAGCGAGCGCAGGCGGUUUUUAAGUUCUGAUGUGAAAGCCUUCGGCUCAACCGAAGAAGUGCAUCGGAAACUAGGGAAACCUGAGUGCAGAAGAGGACAGUGGAACUCCAUGUGUAGCGGUGAAAUGCGUAGAUAUAUGGAAGAACACCAGUGGCGAAGGCGGCUGUCUGGUCUGUAACUGACGCUGAGGCUCGAAAGUAUGGGUAGCAAACAGGAUUAGAUACCCUGGUAG